rnacentral:rRNA from 1 species
AUGGAGCUCUCUGCUGGCAUCCCCUCCACUUUGCGAUCCCCAUCCACAGCCAAAGCUCUCCGUUGGCCGCACCUCCCCUUCGUCAGCAACGCCGGCGGAGGCGCAGGCCCCUGCUCCGCCCCGCCUCUCCCCCUCGUCACCACCACCGGCGGACGCGCAGGCCCAGCUCUGCCCGCCCCUUCUUCUUAUCUGGUGCCGCCCGGGCCCUCCCUCCUCCUGGCCACGGCGGAGCGCUCGAGCCGGGCAUGCUCGCCGGCGAUGCCGGGGCCCUCCCUCCUCCUGGCCACGGCGGGGCGCUCGGGCCGGGCAUGCUCGCCGGCGACGUCGGGGCCCUCCCUCCUCCUGGCGACAGCGGGGCGGUCGAGCUGGGCAUGCUCGCCCGCGACGCCGGGGCCUUCCCUCGUGCUGAUGCACUCGCCGCCCAGGAACUUCCCUCACCCCCUCCCCGCUGCUAGAGACGCCAUGAAGGAGCAGGAGCAGUUGCUGCUCGCGACCUCCUUCUUGAUUAGGAUCACCAAGAUGACCUUGUGUGCUGUGCUGCCGCUCGGGACCCUCCCUAUGCUUCUCCUCGCUCGUCCGGGUCCAGCUUAGUCUCGCCGACCCCAUCGCCUGCUCGUCCCCGUCAAACUGUGCAUAUCUGUAUACUUUCAGCUUGUAUACUUUGACAUGUGCAUACUUUAUUCUUAAUUGUGCAGAAACUUCUUUUGUGAUGCAACUAAUGGGGAAAUACAAAAAAACACAUAAUGCCGAUUGCUUUGAGCCUUUGAGUUAGAAGGUAUAUCUCAGGGUGACUUUAUUUGUGUUCAUAUAAAUUGGAACUGAGCAUUGAACGAUCCAUAUGCAGCUUCAUGAGGCAUUUAGGUGAAGUCAGUACAAUGCUCAUUUGCCAAGGACUCAUGGAACGACGUCAGGUUUAGGUGAGGUUGACAAAUGAGCAUGCAUCUGCGGAGCAGAGGGGUCUUCUAGCCUAACAAAGUCUUGGUGGCAGCGGCGUGUAAAAGACUUACGGACUUCAGAUCAGAGAAGACCAUGCACCUGUGCCGGCGAAGAGCUCGUCAUCGCCGCCAUGGCAGGGCGCCUGGGCGGCUGCACCCGUGUUGGGGAAUAGCUCGCCGUCGUCGGGUGACUCGGCGAGCUCGUCGUCGCGGCCGUCGUCGGGUGCCUCGGCGGCUGCGCAGGGCAGCGAUGGCGCACGUAAGCUGGACGCCUGGAUUGAUUCCGUGGAUAUACUCCCGCUGAGUUAGCACAUUUGUUUCCGUAUAUGACUCUCCGUGUAAAUUGGACGUGGGAUGUAUCCUUUCUGCGGGCGUGGGAUGUUUCCUGGUGUGGGCGUUGCCAGAGUUUUCGUCCGCCCUGGAAAUCUGCUAAACGCACUUCAGUUGUGGGUUGGUGUAAUCGUGAUGGCUAGAUCUAAUUAAGCGAUUUGAUCGUGAGGCUCCAAUUGAUCGGGAAUGUUAUGUGUAGAUUAGGCUGGGUGUGUUUAGCGUUGAAUAUGUUCUCUUGUUUAAUAGUAGUAGAGAUGAUCCAC